rnacentral:pre_miRNA from 1 species
UCUUGUGGAUGAGCAAAGAAAGUGGUUUCUUGAAAUGGAAUCUACGCCAGGUGACGAUGCUAUGGA